rnacentral:lncRNA from 1 species
GUAGGUUUCUUGGGAAGAAGGCUGAGCAGAUGAAUGAUCUUCAAGGUGGAAUAUAUUUUGUAUCCAAAAGGACCUUCAUUUUGGAAUGGAAUCAAAGAAGUUGAAAGAAGAGGCUGAACCACACCCUGAUUUAUGUUGUUUAUGCAUAGGAAAGACAUGGAAAUCCCCACCUUGAGCAGGCUCCUGAACCCCAUGCUUUAACUCCUGACGUCUCCUUCCUCUGCAAGGAGCCCUGCUCUCCUGCCCUACUGGUGGAACAUGAGAAACCAGCUGUUCCCCACAUCCUCUACCUCCUCCCUUCUCUGUUUACAGCAGCUGCCCCUCAGGCUGGCUUCCAGGAGAAAUCAGAGUGAAAGAUUAGUACAUGACUCUUCAAACUGCUGGCUUAAGCUGCUGCAUAAAUCACUAAGAAAAAGGAGUCACAACACCUGCACCUUUCUCUAGAGACUCAGAUUACUGCUUUGUAUUGCCUACACUUUGGAUGUAGAAGAAUCAGCCAAAACUUAACCUGGCAUUUCCCACAUGCUUGGUUCCCAGCAGAGCUCGGAAGCAGACCUUCAGGCAACCGUCAGUGUCUUUACUGAGACAUACAAGAAAAUGGGACUGACACUUACUAUUUAGAAGACUAAAGUCCUCCAUCAACAAACUCUUAAUGAGCAGUCCCCAGCUCGUGGUGAAACUCUGGAGAACACUGAAUAUUUCCUGUACCUUGGAAGCCAUCUUUCACAGAAAACUGACAUCAACAAAGAUAUUGAAUUUUGCCUUAAAUGUGUAACUGCAGCCUUUGGAUGCCUGAGGAAACAAGUGGUUGAAGAUCGUGACAUCAGAUCUGCAACCAAGCUCAUGGUUUAUCAUGCGAUCUUGAUCUCCCCCUUAUUGUACAGAACUGAGAUGUAAACAACAUACAAGAGCUGUCUCAAGUUGUUGGAGAAGUACCAUCAACACUACCUGUGGAAAAUCCUUUGGAUCCAGUGGGAAGACAGAUGCACCAAAUGCUAGCAUCCUGUCACAAGCAAAUACCCAAGUAUCUAGGCAAUGAACAUCUGACAUCAACUUCGCUGGGUCAACCACAUCAUCCAGAUAUCUGACUCCAGACUCUGGAAGCAAGUUUUAUUCUCCAACCUCAGUCAAGGUGUAUGCUCAAGAGGAGAGCAGAGAAAGCACUUCAAGGAUGUCCUCAAGGCUAACUUGAAAAAAUGCAACAUGGAUACCAGCUCAUGAAAGACUAUCGCCCAGGACCACCCCAAAUGGAGGAAGAAUCUGCUGCAAGGAUCUCAGUACUUUGAAACCUUAUGAUGACAACAGGAAAUGGAAAAACGGGAGUAACAGAAGCAGUGUGUUGUGACCUGAAUCAAGAACCCAGAGCCACUUACCCUACCACAGAAACAUGUACCUGAGUUGCAACAGUGUGUGUUGAUUCCAGAUCAGCCUUGUCAGACACCUC